rnacentral:tRNA from 1 species
GUAAAUAUAGUUUAAAAAAAACAUUAGAUCGUGAAUCUAAUAAUAGAAGAUUAUACCUCCUUAUUUACC